rnacentral:lncRNA from 12 species
UUUUUUUUUUUUCCCAGCCAGGCUUUAAAAGGGAAGCCUCAGAGAGGUGCAGCCACACUGCUGCGAGACCCACUUUCAAAGGCUCCUGCUCUCCGGGCCGCGUUCUGCAAAAUCAAGGCCGCGUUCUGCAAAAUCAAGGCCGUGUUCUGCAAACUCAAGGCCGCGUUCUGCAAACUCAAGGCCGCGUUCUGCAAACUCAAGGCCCUGUUCUGCAAACUCAAGGCCGUGUUCUGCAAACUCAAGGCCGUGUUCUGCAAACUCAAGGCCGUGUUCUGCAAACUCAAGGCCGUGUUCUGCAAACUCACAGGAUGCGGGCCCGGUGCAGCACAGCCGUGGACACAGGAGCAUCUGCAGAGCAUUCUACAAACUAUCCUGCAUUCCACAAACUAUCCUGAGAUGCUUCCUGACUUUUAGAAACAGGAUGCUGAUGUUGCAAGGAAAUUCUUCUAUUCCAGGCGUCAAGGUUGGAAAAAUUACUUAAGGAUGACAGGAAAAGAUUUUUUUUUUUUUAUGUGCCUGGUUCCUAAGGCCUGAAACAGCAAUUCAUUCAGCUGAAGAAAUUCCCUGCGAGCUUUUCUUAGAGCCCCCUGAAAAGCAUCUGUGAGGCCUCUUCUUCGGUUGAAAGCAAUUCAAGAGCAGCAGAAGUGGAGAGGAAGCUCUGUCUGGGUCUGCUUGAUCCUCAGACACUGUUCCUUUGCAGCCGGACGCUCCCGCCAUGCCUCCCAAGGAUUAGAUCCGGACAACAGAAAAUGGCCGACAUCCUCUCAUUGAUGCAGAGACUGAAUCCCUGCUACAGACUGAGUGUCUGUGUUCCUCCCUCCUUGGAAUUCCUAUAGUGAAGCCCCAACACUCAAUGUGAUGGUGUUUGAAGGUGAGCCCUUUGGGAGUUAAUUAGGUUUAGAUGAGGCCAUGAGGUAGGACCUUCAGACCUUCCUUAAAACUGCUAGUCCUGAUCAGAAGAGGAAGACAGACCAGAGCUUGCUCGCUUGCUCUCUUUCUCCCUGCCAUGUGAGGCAGCCAUCUCCGAGCCAGGAAGAAGGGUCUCACCAGAGACCAAACCUGCCAGCACCUUGAUCUCAGACUCACAGAUUCCAGGACUGUGAGAAAUAAAUAUUUGUUGUUUAAGCCA